GACCUGGCAAGAUGAGUUGGAUUUUAUCAGUCCCAUGUGUGUUUCUGCUCUGAAAUGAUGACUAGUUUUAUGCAUGUUACUAAAAGAAAAGGGGACCUUUUGACAGUUUCCUAUGCUCAAACCCAACAUGUGUGAUUGACUCAGCGACUGGUAUCUUUUUAGCGGAGCUGCCCCCUCCAUACACCGCCUUCACCAGCCUGGACGCCAGGGGCAUCCCAGUGAUAAACUGUCACAUGUGCCAGUUGCUGAUCAGCCUGGACGGCAAGCUCCACCAGCACAUGGUGAAGUGCAUGGUCUGCAAUGAGGCUACAGUAAAUGGAGUUUCCGCCAGUAAAAGCAUCGAUUGUUACCUGACAUCUUUUCCCUCGAGGAAGUACUUCCACAGUAUGACUUAAGCGUAGGUGCAGGCUGGACACAGAGAUGGCGCAUCUCCACACCCUUGCUGUCUUCUCUCAGCUGUCUAUUCCUCUGGAGCAUACAAGGAUCCUCCCGGUGUUUGCAGCUCACUUCAUUGGGAAAAUGUCAGGGCGAGUUUAAAUACAAUGCCAUUUGGCUCUUUACUUUCUAAAACGAGACUGACCAUAGACAGUUAUUUGUAAUUAUCUUCAAUGUCUAUCACAUCACAGGGAAAUCCAUUUUCAUUUUCACUAAAAUGUGGGCUUUGUACUUAUGUGGAAAAUUACUUAAACAUAUUUUAUGUUUGUAGGAUGUCAGCAUGACUUUUCUUAUUAGGAAUUUGUUAUUGACAUUUGUGCCAAAUCUACACUAAUAAAAGACAAAGAUGCUAAUUGACUGUACCUUCGCUACACCCACCAGCCAAUCAGAAAGUAUGCAAAUUAACCCAACAAAGAUGGCUGUUAAAUUUGCAUACUGCAGAUGGGGCGGGCAGCGCCAGACGCCGCCCAUGGGAUCUGGGCCACAGAUAUGGGAACCGGGGAGGUGGGGCGGGCAGUGCCAGAUGCCACCUGGGGAGGUGGAGCCGGUGAUCGCCCCAGCCAGAGGCCUGAAGCCUGGGCAGGGACUGUUGUGGUGACAACACAAGUCUUUCCUUUGCUCACCAAGCCUGGCCUCUUAGUCUAAAAAGAACAAAAACCCUUCCUAAUUGUUUAGCCUAAAGUGGCUCCUUUCAUGGUCUGCAGCUCUGAGAGAGGAGCCCUAAGCUGAGGGUUCUCACAGUCACAAGUGAUGUUCUUCUGAACACAGAACAGAUUCCUUUCUAGAAAUAAACUCUCUCGUAGUACAAUGUUUUACGUUCCACAGGACAUGUUUGCUAAUAGUCCCAAUGCCUUUAGUUCCUCUAUAAGAUGAAGCAAAGCAUGAAUAAAUCUAUGUUCAGUAACCCCCUCCUCACCAAACUCUCACUAUAUCACAGCACACAAUACACUAACACACACACCGGUUCCCACACCAGCCACCUCCCCUGCUGGCCCUCUGUAGGCAGACACUCUUCCUGCCUCAUCUUUCCUCAGGUUUGUGGAGACGCCCCCGGGCCUAUGGAGAUGCCUCUACGUGUCUGCUGAGGCUCAGCAACAUGGAGCCACCUGAGUCAGGAGAAGUGUCUCGGGCUCGCUUCCUGGCCGGGCCGAGCUGUGGGGCUGUCACUGGACACCAGCACCACAGGCUCCACGGGGGUCAGAGAGGAGACGCGGGCCCCCCUGCGAAGAACAUGACCCCAGGAGCCUGAAUCCGUGUGAGCCUCUGCAGGCGUGUGAGGACCUACACACGGUUCCCCUUCAUCUUCACUGAUGCUGGGGCGGCGGCAGCAGGAGGCGGCCGCAAUGUGACAGAGAAACAGGGACUUGUCACCGCCGGGCGCACCCGCCGGCUCAGGAGCAUGUUGUGCGUCCCUGACGAUGCUCCAGCCGCUGAGCCAUGUGCCAGCCUCUGCCACGCUCUACAGCCGAGACACAUCUCCGGCUCCUGAGAGAACAUCCAUGAAAGCCGGGGACAGGGAAACGCUCCGCACAGCAGCAGCCACAGGAGAGCCUCAGAGGGCGGCCGUGGCUCCUGAGAAAUAAAAGUCGCAGCGAAAGAGGAGUUUCUAAUAUAAACCUCAAUUCAGAGGGAGUGGCCUGCAAAGUCCCUCCCGCAUUGAACUGACUGAUAGACAUGUGGACUGAGAAAAGGAGAGAUGGCAGGACCAGACUAGAACACACAACUGGCGCAGAGUGGAGCUGAGCCGUGUGGCCUGAAGGGAACUCACUCGGGGCAGCCUGACCCCAGGGCCUCCCACAGCCACGACGCUUCACACUGAAGCAGCACAGCAGACCUGCUCCCACAGCAGGGCCACUUCACGCUGCUCCUGUAGCAACACUGAGCUGCUCCACAGCCUGCCGUCGCCCAGAUGGUGAGCUCUCCCAGCUGCUAGUGUCCUCGUGGAGCUGACACCUCAGAGGCCACUGGCCAGUCUCACUAGUGAAGAUGCGCUGAUAGGAGUGAGAGCAGUUAAGGCCUCCUUUGCACGGAAACGCUUCUGAAAUGUGGAGGACACAUCAACAAGAAUGCAAAUAAAAAGUCACACACUUGGUUCCUUUAAGCAUAUUUAAUAUUUGAACUCUCAUUUUCUAUUUUCCCAGACCCCAGAAAAGAGAAAGUUUUUAGCUGACCAAUAUUUUGUUCCAGAAACAUACAGCCUUAUCAGCUAAUUCAUAAAAGAGCUAUUUUACAAAGGUACAUCUGGAUAAUUAGAACAAUAAAGUCUUUUAGGUAUUUCAAAAUAUGAGUAAAAAUACAUGAUUAUUAAUAGAGUUUUCUGAAGACAGCUGCUGUUUUUAUAGAGUGAUUUCUAGGAAAGAGCCCAAGACUGUUGGUGAACGAGUGAAGAAAGGGUUCUGGCAGAAGAGGCGUGUUAGCCACAGCCCAGUGUGCACGUCCCCGGGGUCUCUGCGGCCCAUCCCCCUAGGAGAUCCAUUUCCCAACCAACUUAUUAUCAAAACCAUCAGGACCAGUGGGGAAGGCAGAAGGAAUGAAGAAAAGGAACUCUUUUCUUGAACAACUUUGCAGGACAUUUUGAAAAGGUAGAAAAAUCAGAAAAAAAACACAAAACAAAAAUUGUAAUAUUAGGAGGACAAAGGAGCAGAGAUGCCGGGAGGGCCCUGCGCAUGGUCUGUCCUGAGGUCCCUGCACUCGGUUCUCAAUGGCGCCUUCAGCGUCUCAGGGAGGAAAUGUUGGCCAGAGCCCUAGUUCCAGUGACACUCCCCAGGGCUGCAGAGGAAGCGCUUCCGGCUGGGAGUGCAGAAGCCCCACGCAGCACGCCCACCUCAGGACGCCAAAAAGGAAAA